UGUGACCAUUUUACGAUUAUUUACGAUACAAAAUGGCAAUUAUAAUCGCCAUGACAGUUGCGUCCGUUUCAGAAAUAAUCGCUGGCAUUUAAUUAAGAGUUCAGUAGCGAUAAUUCUUGAGAAUAUUCAAGGAGAACUCUAGAAAAGUCGUGGUGGCCUAGUGGGCAAAGAACCGACCUCUCGAGUAUGAGGGCGCGGGUUCGAUCCCAGGUCAGGCAAGUACCAAUGCAACUUUUCUAAGUUUGUAUGUACUUUCUAAGUAUAUCUUAGACACCAAUGACUGUGUUUCGGAUGGCACGUUAAACUGUAGGUCCCGGCUGUCAUUGAACAUCCUUGGCAGUCGUUACGGGUAGUCAGAAGCCAGUAAGUCUGACACCAGUCUAACCAAGGGGUAUCGGGUUGCCCGGGUAACUGGGUUGAGGAGGUCAGGCAGGGCAGUCGCUCCUUGUAAAGCACUGGUACUCAGCUACAUCCGGUUAGACUGGAAGCCGACCCCAACAUAGUUUGGGAAAAAGGCUCGGAGGAUGGAGAAAAUCUAUCACUUAUGUCUUGGGCAUAUCUGAUUAAAAGAUUAAUACUUUAGUCUUCCAGUGUUCCAGUUGUUCAAAAUGAUGAUUAUCUAAAUCUAUCGUCGCGCCUAGUCUAAAUGGAGAGAAAGUUGCAAAUAGCCUCUAUGCGUGUGUUGCUAUCAAAUUUAAACUAGGCGCACUAAUGUUU
rnacentral:lncRNA from 1 species